rnacentral:rRNA from 1 species
AGCAGUAGCCGCGGUAAAACGUAGGUGGCGAGCGUUGUCCGGAAUUAUUGGGCGUAAAGGGAGCGCAGGCGGACAUAUAAGUCCAUCUUAAAAGUGCGGGGCUCAACCCCGUGAGGGGAUGGAAACUGUAUGCCUUGAGUGCAGGAGAGGAAAGCGGAAUUCCCAGUGUAGCGGUGAAAUGCGUAGAUAAUGGGAGGAACACCAGUGGCGAAGGCGGCUUUCUGGACUGUAACUGACGCUGAGGCUCGAAAGCCAGGGGAGCGAACGGGAUUAGAUACCCGUGUAGUCCCUGUCUCUUAUACA